rnacentral:rRNA from 1 species
GUCAAAUAUAAAAAUGUUUAAGGAGGAUACCUAAGUGCUUAAAAACGAUGAAGGGCGUAAUUAACUGCGAAAAGCUUCGAUAAAUUGUAAAUGAGUGUUAAAAUCGAAGAUUCCCGAAUAGAGAAAUCUGUAAAACUAUUGAAUGAAUUCAUAAUUCAAUAAGAGAAUACUUAGUGAACUGAAACAUCUUAGUAACUAAAGGAAAAGAAAGCAAAAGCGAUUUUCUUAGUAGUGGCGAACGAAAAGGAAACAGUCUAAACUAGUCGAAAGGCUAGGGUUGUGGGACAGAAAUCAUAAAUUAUAAUAACUAAACAGCUGAAACCUGUACCAAAGAUGGUGAAAGUCCAGUAUAUAAUAAUUUUUUUUUGUAUCCCGAGUAGCUUGAGACACGUGAAAUCUCUUGUGAAUCCACGAGGACCACCUCGUAAGACUAAAUAUUUUUAAGUAACUGAUAGUGAACAAGUACCGUGAGGGAAAGGUGAAAAAGAACCCCUAUAGGGGAGUGAAAUAGAACAUAAAACCUUAAACAAACAAACAGUGGGAGGGUUUAGAUCUGACCGCGUGCCUGUUGAAGAAUGAGCCGGCGACUCGUAUAAAAUGGCAAGGUUAAAUUUUUUAUGGAGCCAAAGCGAAAGCAAGUCUGAAUAGGGCGAAAAGUCAUUUUGUAUGGACCCGAACCCGAGUGAUCUAACCAUGACCAGGAGGAAACUUGGUUAAAACUAAGUGGAAGUCCGAACUGACCAAUGUUGAAAAAUUGACAGAUGAGUUGUGGUUAGGGGUGAAAUGCCAAUCGAACUCGGAGCUAGCUGGUUCUCCUCGAAAUGCGUUGAGGCGCAGCAUUUAUAUUUAAUAACUAAGGGGUAAAGCACUGUUCCGGUACGGGCCAUGAAAAUGGUACCAAAUCGUUGCAAACUAAGAAUACUUAAGUUUUAAAGUAAAUAGUGAGACUAUGGGGGAUAAGCUUCAUAGUCGAAAGGGAAACAGCCCAGAUCAUCAGCUAAGGCCCCUAAAUAAUUGCUAAGUGUUAAAGGAGGUACGAAUGCUAAAACAACCAAAAGGUUUGCUUAGAAGCAGCCAUCCUUGAAAGAGUGCGUAAUAGCUCACUGGUAAAGCGUUUGUGCACCGAAAAUGUAUGGGACUAAGUAAUUUGCCGAAGCUAUGAGCUUUGUUUAUAAAUAAAGCGGUAGAGGAGCGUUCUGUUUUAGGGUGAAGCCAUUUUGUAAAAAAUCGUGGACAAAACAGAAGUGAGAAUGUCGGCUUGAGUAACGAAAACAUUGGUGAGAAUCCAAUGCCCCGAAAAUCUAAGGAUUCCUUCACUAGGCUCGUCCAUGAAGGGUUAGUCAGGACCUAAGAUGAGAUCGAAAGGUGUAAUCGAUGGAAAACAGGUUAAUAUUCCUGUACUUGUUUUUUUGUAGUAACGAAGGACGAAGAAGGCUAAAGUAGCAGAUUAUUGAAUUUCUGUGGAAAUACACGAGGCUUUUCACGAAAAAAAACGUGAGUUUAGCCAAGUUAUGAUACUUUUUUUAUUUCCAUUGGAAAUAAAAAAAUACUCAAUGUCAUACUUCCUAGAAAAGCUCGAAUUACUAAUACAAAAAAACAACCUGUACCGUAAACCGACACAGGUAGAUAAGUAGAGUAUACUAAGGGGCGCGAGAAAACUCUCUCUAAGGAACUCGGCAAAAUAGCUCCGUAACUUCGGGAGAAGGAGUACCCUUAUUAUAAAGGGUGGCAGUAAAGAGACCCAGGCGACUGUUUACCAAAAACACAGGUCUCCGCAAAGUCGUAAGACAACGUAUGGGGGCUGACGCCUGCCCAGUGCCGGAAGGUUAAGUAAAUUAGUUAUUCUCAUGAAAAAGCUAAUAAAUCAAGCCCCGGUGAACGGCGGCCGUAACUCUGACGGUCCUAAGGUAGCGAAAUUCCUUGUCGCGUAAGUUGUGACCCGCACGAAAGGCGUAACGAUCUGGGUACUGUCUCAGAGAGAGACUCGGUGAAAUAGACAUGUCUGUGAAGAUGCAGACUUCUUACACCUGGACAGAAAGACCCUAUGAAGCUUGACUGUAUCUUGAAAUUGAAUUUGAGUUUUUUUUGCGCAGUCUAGGUGGGAGGCUAUGAAAAAGUUUUUUCGGAAAUUUUGGAGCCAACAGUGAGAGACCACUCUUUAAAAACUAAAAUUCUAAUAGUGUUUUCUUGAAGCAGAACACUUGACAGUUUUAGGUGGACAGUUUUUUUGGGGCGAAAACCUCCCAAAAAGUAACGGAGGUGUACAAAGGUUCCCUCAAACUGGACGGAAAUCAGUUGAAGAGUACAAAGGCAAAAGGGAGCUUAACUGCAAGACUGACACGUCAAGCAGAGGCGAAAGCCGGUCUUAGUGAUCCGACGGUUCCGCGUGGAAGGGCCGUCGCUCAACGGAUAAAAGUUACUCUAGGGAUAACAGGCUGAUCUUCCCCAAGAGUUCACAUCGACGGGAAGGUUUGGCACCUCGAUGUCGGCUCAUCGCAACCUGGGGCGGUAGUACGUCCCAAGGGUUGGGCUGUUCGCCCAUUAAAGCGGUACGUGAGCUGGGUUCAGAACGUCGUGAGAGACAGUUUGGUCCAUAUCCGGUGUAAGCGUUAGAAUAUUGAAAGGACCUUUCCAUAAUACGAGAGGACUUGGAAGGAUGAACCUCUGGUGUACCAGUUCUUAUGUCCAUAGGAAACGCUGGGUAGCUAUGUUCAGAGGUGAUAACUGCUGAAAGCAUCUAAGUAGGAAGCCCACCUUGAGAUGAAUAUUCUCUAUUAGAUCGCGGAUAGACAAUCCGAUAAAUAGGUAUCACGUGUACAAUCUGUAAGGAUUUUAGCGAAGAUAUACUAAAGAAUCAAUUGAUUUUGAC